CCGCGGGAUUAGAGUUUGAUCCUGGCUCAGGAUGAACGCUAGCGGGAGGCCUAACACAUGCAAGCCGAGCGGUAUUUGUCUUUCGGGACAGAGAGAGCGGCGUACGGGUGCGUAACACGUGUGCAACCUACCUUUAUCUGGGGGAUAGCCUUUCGAAAGGAAGAUUAAUACCCCAUAAUAUAAUGAUUGGCAUCAAUUAUUAUUGAAAACUCCGGUGGAUAGAGAUGGGCACGCGCAAGAUUAGAUAGUUGGUGAGGUAACGGCUCACCAAGUCUGUGAUCUUUAGGGGUCCUGAGAGGGAGAUCCCCCACACUGGUACUGAGACACGGACCAGACUCCUACGGGAGGCAGCAGUGAGGAAUAUUGGACAAUGGGUGAAAGCCUGAUCCAGCCAUCCCGCGUGAAGGAUGACGGUCCUAUGGAUUGUAAACUUCUUUUGUACAGGGAUAAACCUAUUCUCGUGAGGGUAGCUGAAGGUACUGUACGAAUAAGCACCGGCUAACUCCGUGCCAGCAGCCGCGGUAAUACGGAGGGUGCAAGCGUUAUCCGGAUUUAUUGGGUUUAAAGGGUCCGUAGGCGGACCUGUAAGUCAGUGGUGAAAUCUCAUAGCUUAACUAUGAAACUGCCAUUGAUACUGCAGGUCUUGAGUAAAUUUGAAGUGGCUGGAAUAAGUAGUGUAGCGGUGAAAUGCAUAGAUAUUACUUAGAACACCAAUUGCGAAGGCAGGUCACUAAGAUUUAACUGACGCUGAUGGACGAAAGCGUGGGUAGCGAACAGGAUUAGAUACCCUGGUAGUCCACGCCGUAAACGAUGCUAACUCGUUUUUGGAUUUUCGGAUUCAG
rnacentral:rRNA from 1 species